rnacentral:rRNA from 1 species
UACGUAGGUGGCAAGCGUUAUCCGGAAUUACUGGGCGUAAAGCGCACGCAGGCGGCUCGUCAAGUUCGACGUGAAAAGCUCCCGGCUUAACUGGGAGAGGUCGUUGAAAACUGGCGAGCUUGAGGCAAUGAGAGGGGUGUAGAAUUCCCGGUGUAGCGGUGAAAUGCGCAGAUAUCAGGAGGAACACCGGUGGCGAAGGCGGGUCUCUGGGCCGUAACUGACGCUGAGGAGCGAAAGCGUGGGGAGCAAACAGG